GCCUCAAUAGUGUAAUGGAUCAGCACGGUAGACCGGAUAUCUGAAAGUACGGGUUCGAGUCUCGCCUGAGGUA
rnacentral:tRNA from 1 species